rnacentral:rRNA from 1 species
GGUGGUGCAUGGCCGUUCUUAGUUGGUGGAGUGAUUUGUCUGCUUAAUUGCGAUAACGAACGAGACCUUAACCUACUAAAUAGUGGUGCUAGCAUUUGCUGGUUCUUCCACUUCUUAGAGGGACUAUCGAUUUCAAGUCGAUGGAAGUUUGAGGCAAUAACAGGUCUGUGAUGCCCUUAGACGUUCUGGGCCGCACGCGCGCUACACUGACAGAGCCAGCG